rnacentral:rRNA from 1 species
CCUACGGGUGGCAGCAGUCGAGAAUCAUUCACAAUGGGGGAAACCCUGAUGGUGCGACGCCGCGUGGGGGAAUGAAGGUCUUCGGAUUGUAAACCCCUGUCAUGUGGGAGCAAAUUAAAAAGAUCGUACCCCAAGAGGAAGAGCCGGCUAACUCUGUGCCAGCAGCCGCGGUAAUACAGAGGUCUCAAGCGUUGUUCGGAAUCACUGGGCGUAAAGCGUGCGUAGGCUGUUUCGUAAGUCGUGUGUGAAAGGCGCGGGCUCAACCCGCGGACGGCACAUGAAACGGCGAGACUAGAGUAAUGGAGGGGGAACCGGAAUUCUCGGUGUAGCAGUGAAAUGCGUAGAUAUCGAGAGGAACACUCGUGGCGAAGGCGGGUUCCUGGACAUUAACUGACGCUGAGGCACGAAGGCCAGGGGAGCGAAAGGGAUUAGAUACCCUUGUAGUC